GAGCCGCCCUACGGGGAAGGAGCCCGAGAAGGAGUCGGCGGCACAAAAUGGCGGCGGCGACGGGGACGGCCGGGACCGGGGCCGGGGCUCCGGGCUCGGCGGCCCCCGCGGCAGCGGCCGGCACGCCGGGCUCGGGCAGCGCAGCCCCGGGAUCGCAGGGGGUGCUGAUCGGGGACCGGCUGUACUCUGGGGUGCUCAUCACCCUGGAGAACUGCCUCCUGCCUGACGACAAGCUGCGCUUCACUCCGUCCAUGUCGAGUGGCCUCGACACCGACACCGAGACCGACCUCCGCGUGGUGGGCUGCGAGCUCAUCCAGGCGGCCGGCAUCCUGCUCCGCCUGCCGCAGGUGGCCAUGGCUACAGGGCAGGUGUUGUUCCAGCGGUUCUUUUAUACCAAGUCCUUUGUGAAGCAUUCCAUGGAGCAUGUGUCAAUGGCCUGUGUUCACCUGGCCUCCAAGAUAGAGGAAGCUCCCAGAAGGAUCCGAGACGUCAUCAAUGUGUUUCACCGGCUUCGACACCUGAGGGAGAAAAGAAAACCUGUGCCUCUCCUGCUGGAUCAAGAUUACGUUAAUUUAAAGAAUCAAAUCAUAAAGGCGGAAAGGCGAGUCCUCAAGGAGCUGGGCUUCUGCGUGCACGUGAAGCACCCUCACAAGAUAAUCGUUAUGUACCUUCAGGUGUUAGAGUGUGAGCGUAACCAACCCCUGGUCCAGACCGCAUGGGUAGCCUCUGAGGGUAAGUGACUAAGACUUCUCCUCUCCUGCCCAAGCGCUUUGGUGCAGGGACAGCGGCCGUCCUCAGCCAAUCCAGUGCAGGCUCCGCGCCGAAGGCUGGCUCUAGAGGUGGUAUGCGCACGAUAGUCUAGUGCUGGCCGACGCUGCUGUGGUUCUGACGAUUGUGCUUCUUGUUAACCCUCUGUCCUGCUUGGUAACUGUAUCGAUUAGACUUGGUAACUGUUGACUUGAAUUUUGUCCUUUAAACUGCUGUACCUGUGCAAUAAAGAUGCAGUACCUUUCUCGGUGGGAAGCGGUCAAAAGUGGCUGGUGGGAACUCAGACUGGAGCGUGGGAGGUGGUUGGCUCUGGAAGCCCCACAGUUGCUCCGAUCGGCCGCUGAGGGGCGCCCCCCUCGAGGUCCACGAAAGGUGUGCAUCUUUAGAUCACCCGUGGGCCCUUUGGAUAUUUAUACUGUAAUGUGUUUCAGACGUAGCAGUCAGUUUAAAUGUAUGUUUUGAGGACUCUGUUUUUUGGGGGACCUAAAAGUUAAUGCAUUAAAAAUAUCACUCUCUGAGGACUGAGAUUUUUUUUACUAGAGCCCCCAACGUUACUGGGGGUUACGUUCAUAAACGGUAUGAACUGUUCACUUGCAACUCUUGGGAUGUACGGCCUUGGUCACUCAGGCCUUUGCUUGGUCACUUCUGGGUGCCUGGAGCCAGAGCUUCAGAGGCAGGUGCUGCUCGUGGGCACAUGCAGAACUGGUCAUUGCGAACUCUCCUGGGUUUGUGUGUCACCUCUCCUGGGAGGUGGGCCGAAGAGACCGGGUUGGGGCACGUCGGUCACAUCCCAGCACACCUGGGUCCCCGAGGGGGUGGCCUGAUAGAACUGGGAUUCGCUAGGUGCUCUGAACAUUUGACCUGUUCAACUGUGUUCUCAUGGCAUUAGUUUUCUGUUUUUGCAAUCUUGAUAAAGUUGAUGUGAGGUCUGCUGUUUCUCUAUUAAACCUCAGAGAAAUGUGUCUAAACGAAAUGUUGACAAUGUAGCCAUUGUUUAAACUCUUUUUUAAGUUUUUUAAAAAUGCAAAUGUUUUGUAUCUUUAUGUCUCUAAAAUACGGUAAAGUUUUUAAAAUGCACUGAUUGUGAUGAAACCUGUAUUUUGUUGCUUUCAUCUGAUCUUAUGAAUGUUCAUUUUAAGACUCCUUGUUGAAAUGGGACAGUUUGGAAACGGUUCUUGGCUAAGCCCGAGAAGAGGCUGUCCCCGGGCAUCGAGCCCUCCUCUGCGUGAUGUUCCCCUGCAGCCAAGAGCCUUUCUCCCCUGUCCAAGUGGACGCGUGAGCGGAAGAAGGCCCGGCCUGAGCGCCUCUUCCAGGCGAAGACCCGCCGGAGGACGACUCGUCUCAGAAAGAGCCUCGCAGGCCUUGUGCUCAGCCCGGUCCUUUGCGUUUGCAUGUUUCUCUGCACUAUGGAUCUUGAGCCUUUAGGUUUCUCUAAUCAGCUCUGCUGGACCGCCACGUAGACAGCUCUCUGAGGCCCUGUUUUGCAUGAGAGCAGCCGAAGGUUGAGAGGGAACAGUAAAGCCGAAGUCGGUUCUCUUUCAUGGCAACACACGUUGUCUGACAUUCAGCCAGCUUUUUAAGUUUUUUUCCAGUAACUUCCCUGUUCUCCUGGCCUCUAUUCAGAAAAAGCAGUUAGAACGUUUCUCCCUGAACUCGUGAGUCCGGGACUGUGUAGCUCGCAGUCUCGGCAGUGGACUUAGACGCGUAGCGACGUGGCCGAGGUGGCGCAGACGGGUGUUGGGGUCCCCCGGGUGUUGCAGUUCUUCCUGCCUUUGCUUUGCAGGAAUUACAUGAACGACAGCCUUCGCACAGAUGUUUUUGUGAGGUUCCAGCCCGAGAGCAUCGCCUGUGCCUGCAUUUACCUCGCUGCCCGGACGCUGGAGGGGCGCAUCUGCGGCAUAUGGAGGUUCCCAGGCCAGGGGCUGAAUAGGAGCCGCAUCUGCGACCUACACCACAGCUCAGGCCAACGCCGGAUCCUUAACCCGCUGAGUGAGGCCAGGGAUUGAACACGCAUCCUCAUGGAUCCCUCUGCCCAAUCGUCCCCACUGGUUUCUUCUGUUUGGAGCAACUGAGGAAGAAAUUCAAGAAAUCUGCUUAAAAAUCCUCCAGCUUUACACUCGGAAAAAGGUGGACCUGACGCAGCUGGAGAGUGAGGUGGAGAAGCGUAGGCACGCCCUGGACGAGGCAAAGGCCCAGGCCAAGGGCCUGCUGCCUGGCGGCGGUGGCGGCGGAGGCACCCAGGUGCUGGAGAGCGCGUCGCGGUUCUCACCUGCCCCGAAGCCGGCAGGCUCCCCCCAGGAGGGCAAAGGAAACAAGCCCUCCCCGCUCUCUGCGAAGAAUGCCAGGAGGAGGACGGAGGGCGCGAAGAAGGCCAAGGCCGACAGCCCGGUGAAUGGCCUGCCCAAGGGCCGAGGGAGCCGGAGUCGGAGCGGGAGCCACGAGCAGAGCUACUCAAGGUCCCCGUCGCGAUCCGCUUCCCCUAAAAGGAGGAAGAGUGACAGCGGCUCCACGUCUGGCGGGUCCAAGUCACAGAGCCGCUCGCGGAGCCGGAGUGACUCCCCGCCAAGACAGGCCCACCGUGGUGCCACCUACAAGGGCUCCAAGGUGAGGGGCUACCACAAGGCCAAGGACUGCAAGUUCUCCGCACAGAAGCCCCGCAAGUCCCGCAGCCGCAGCUCCUCCCACUCUCGGAGCCGCUCAAGAGAGCGGGCAGAUAAUUCUGGAAAAUACAAGAAAAAAAGUCACUACUACAGAGACCAGCGACGGGAACGUUCUCGAUCUUACGAGCGAACAGGUCGUCGCUACGAGCGGGACCACCCUGGGCACAGCCGGCACCGGAGGUGAGGGAUGGUCCCUCGGCGUGCACACCUCAGCCCCUGGCCCCGGGGCACGGCUCUUUCUUGGAAACGGCUGUUGACCCUGGGCCUCGAGAUGACUUUGGAGACGGAAUUGAGAGGAGGGCAAGGUGCCCUCAAGCCUGGCCCGGGCCCGGCCCCCACCUGUCCUGCAGAGCCCCCCACAGCAGCCGGCGGCCGAGGCCCGCGUCCUCGUGGUGUGGCUUGGUGCUAAGGACAAGCGGUCUCCACCCCUGUACCGACCCUCAAUUACGUUAAACCAAGAAAAUGACUCUUUGAACCUUUGCCUAUAUUAGGUUGUACUUAUGUACGUAUCUUGCAGUGUUUGACAUGAGAAAAUGGCCUUAACAGCCCCUCACUCCCUGCCCAUGUUGUAAAUAAACGUGUUUCGUACACGUUACAGCCGUAUCGGAAAACUCAGAACUUGAAUUCUGUCAGCUUAAAACAUGUAGAGGAUUCUGAUUUUUUAAAUGUGAAGGUAUUUCGAUCUGUGUUGAAAGUCCUAUAUUUUUAUCUGCGACGCUGAGUGCAGGCCACCAGCUCCAAUACUGAGGCAUUUCGUAUAUAUGCAUUUUAUGUGGUUAAAUAAACACAGUUCUCUCUACUCAGGACAUUUGGAACUUUAGAGAAUUUGUGGUGUGUCCUCCUGCUUGCUGGAUACCGGGCUCAGCCCGCAGCAUCCGUUCUAGUGCUUUGUCUGCGCUGCCAUCUCGAGCUCAUUAAAGCGUUGGAUUUUGUACUGCA